CCUACGUGUGGCAGCAGUGGGGAAUAUUGGACAAUGGGCGAAAGCCUGAUCCAGCCAUGCCGCGUGUGUGAAGAAGGCCUUCGGGUUGUAAAGCACUUUCAGUGGGGAAGAAAGCCUUGGGGCUAAUACCCUCGAGGAAGGACAUCACCCACAGAAGAAGCACCGGCUAACUCCGUGCCAGCAGCCGCGGUAAUACGGAGGGUGCGAGCGUUAAUCGGAAUUACUGGGCGUAAAGCGCGCGUAGGCGGUCUGAUAAGCCGGUUGUGAAAGCCCCGGGCUCAACCUGGGAACGGCAUCCGGAACUGUCAGGCUAGAGUGCAGGAGAGGAAGGUAGAAGCCCCGGUGUAGCGGUGAAAUGCGUAGAGAUCGGGAGGAAUACCAGUGGCGAAGGCGGCCUUCUGGACUGACACUGACGCUGAGGUGCGAAAGCGUGGGUAGCAAACAGGAUUAGAUACCCUUGUAGUC
rnacentral:rRNA from 1 species